CCUACGGGAGGCAGCAGUGGGGAAUUUUCCGCAAUGGGCGAAAGCCUGACGGAGCAACGCCGCGUGGAUGAUGAAGCCUUUNGGGGCGUAAAAUCCUUUCAGCAGGGACGAAGCGAGUGACGGUACCUGCAGAAGAAGCAUCGGCUAACUACGUGC
rnacentral:rRNA from 1 species